rnacentral:rRNA from 1 species
AAAACUUUACAAUGCUGGCAACAGCGAUAAGGGAACCUCGAGUGCCAGGUUACAAAUCUGGCUGUCGAGAUGCCUAAGGAGCAUUUCAUAGCAAGGGCCGGGCAAGACCGGUGCCAGCCGCCGCGGUAACACCGGCGGCUCGAGUGGUAACCGUUAUUAUUGGGUCUAAAGGGUCUGUAGCCGGCCGGAUAAGUCUCUUGAGAAAUCUGGCAGCUUAACUGUCAGGCUUUCAGGAGAUACUGUCUGGCUCGAGGCCGGGAGAGGUGAGAGGUACUUCAGGGGUAGGGGUGAAAUCUUGUAAUCCUUGAAGGACCACCAGUGGCGAAGGCGUCUCACCAGAACGGACCUGACGGCAAGGGACGAAAGCUAGGGGCACGAACCGGAUUAGAUACCCGGGUAGUCCUAGCCGUAAACGAUACUCGCUAGGUGUCGGCCACGGUGCGACCGUUGUCGGUGCCGUAGGGAAGCCGUGAAGCGAGCCACCUGGGAAGUACGGCCGCAAGGCUGAAACUUAAAGGAAUUGGCGGGGGAGCACCACAACGGGUGGAGCUUGCGGUUUAAUUGGAUUCAACGCCGGAAAUCUUACCGGGACCGACAGCAAUAUGAAGGCCAGGCUGAAGACUUUGCCGGAUUAGCUGAGAGGUGGUGCAUGGCCGUCGUCAGUUCGUACUGUGAAGCAUCCUGUUAAGUCAGGCAACGAGCGAGACCCACGCCCACAGUUGCCAGCGUACUCUCCGGAGUGACGGGUACACUGUGGGGACCGCCGCUGCUAAAGCGGAGGAAGGAAUGGGCAACGGUAGGUCAGUAUGCCCCGAAUAUCCCGGGCUACACGCGAGCUACAAUGGUUGGUACAAUGGGUAUCUACCCCGAAAGGGGACGGGAAUCUCCUAAAACCAAUCUUAGUUCGGAUUGAGGGCUGCAACUCGCCCUCAUGAAGCUGGAAUCCGUAGUAAUCGCGUUUCAACAGAACGCGGUGAAUACGUCCCUGCUCC